rnacentral:rRNA from 1 species
AGCAGCCGCGGUAAUUCCAGCUCCAAUAGCGUAUAUUAAAGUUGUUGCAGUUAAAAAGCUCGUAGUUGAAUUUCGAGAUCGGCUUACUGGUCGUGCUUUUGUACGUACUGGUAAAUCGGUUUCUCCUUUCUGACGAACUUUAAUGCCAUUAAUUUGGUGUUUUUAGGGAAUCAGGACUGUUACUUUGAAAAAAUUAGAGUGUUUAAAGCAGGCUCACGCUUGAAUACAUUAGCAUGGAAUAACGGAAUAGGACGUUUGAUUCUAUUUUGUUGAUUUCUAGGAUCGACGUAAUGAUUAAUAGGGAUAGUUGGGGGCAUUAGUAUUCAAUUGUCAGAGGUGAAAUUCUUGGAUUUAUUGAAGACUAACUACUGCGAAAGCAUUUGCCAAGGAUGUUUUCAUUAAUCAAGAACGAAAGUUAGGGGAUCGAAGACGAUCAGAUACCGUCGUAGUCUUAACCAUAAACUAUGCCGACUAGGGAUCGGAUGAUGUUAAUUUUUUAAUGACUCAUUCGGCGCCUUAC